rnacentral:rRNA from 1 species
GUCACUGACGAGUUUGAUCAUGGCUCAGAACGAACGCUGGCGGCAGGCCUAACACAUGCAAGUCGAGCGAGGACUUCGGUCCUAGCGGCGGACGGGUGAGUAACGCGUGGGAACGUGCCCUUUGGUACGGAAUAGCCCCGGGAAACUGGGAGUAAUACCGUAUGGUGUCUUCGGACUAAAGAUUUAUCGCCAAAGGAUCGGCCCGCGUUGGAUUAGGUAGUUGGUGGGGUAAUGGCCUACCAAGCCGACGAUCCAUAGCUGGUUUGAGAGGAUGAUCAGCCACACUGGGACUGAGACACGGCCCAGACUCCUACGGGAGGCAGCAGUGGGGAAUCUUAGACAAUGGGGGCAACCCUGAUCUAGCCAUGCCGCGUGAGUGAUGAAGGCCCUAGGGUUGUAAAGCUCUUUCAGCUGGGAAGAUAAUGACGGUACCAGCAGAAGAAGCCCCGGCUAACUCCGUG